GCAGCCUGAUCCAGCCAUGCCGCGUGCAGGAUGACGGUCCUAUGGAUUGUAAACUGCUUUUAUACGAGAAAAAACACUGCUUCGUGAAGCAGCUUGACGGUAUCGUAAGAAUAAGGAUCGGCUAACUCCGUGCCAGCAGCCGCGGUAAUACGGAGGAUCCAAGCGUUAUCCGGAAUCAUUGGGUUUAAAGGGUCCGUACGCGGUUUAAUAAGUCAGUGGUGAAAGCCCAUCGCUCAACGGUGGAACGGCCAUUGAUACUGUUAAACUUGAAUUAUUAGGAAGUAACUAGAAUAUGUAGUGUAGCGGUGAAAUGCUUAGAGAUUACAUGGAAUACCAAUUGCGAAGGCAGGUUACUACUAAUGGAUUGACGCUGAUGGACGAAAGCGUGGGUAGCGAACAGGAUUAGAUACCCUGGUAGUCCACGCCGUAAACGAUGGAUACUAGCUGUUGGAAGCAAUUUCAGUGGCUAAGCGAAAGUGAUAAGUAUCCCACCUGGGGAGUACGUUCGCAAGAAUGAAACUCAGAGGAAUUGACGGGGGCCCGCACAAGCGGUGGAGCAUGUGGUUUAAUUCGAUGAUACGCGAGGAACCUUACCAAGGCUUAAAUGUAGAUUGACCGAUUUGGAAACAGAUCU
rnacentral:rRNA from 1 species